UAGAUUGGGAUGAAGCACAAUAAUAUAAUCCAACACUUGAUCUGAGACAUUGUCGAGUGAUGCUAAAAUAUACUGCUUCUGAAUCUGC